CGCCAGAGCUGUUAAGUUUGAUCAGGCCGUCGCGCAGGCGCGGCCGGAAAAAGCGGGGCGGGAGGAAUGGAGUGCCUUUUCCUCUCAGGCGGCGCCAUUUUGUGCUAGAGCCGCUACAGCUGCUGGCGGUGGGGAGUAGUUGGUGGAGACAAGACACCUAGGAUGGUACUCUGGUAGGGGCCACCGACUUUGGAAUGGCCGCGUUCGUCUCGGAAAUCGGGACGCGACGGCUUGGCGACCUGCGGGCGGAGGGGAACCUGGACAAGGGCGGCAACAAGAGUGUCCUGAUAGAACGGCUGUAAGGGAAUUCAAAUGGAAGCAUAAGGAGAACGACAGGGAGUCAGAUUCCCGAAUGGAAGACAUUUCCCGAGUUGAACCCAGGUAAUUCACAAACAAACUGCUGGUUCGAGUGGGCUUGCAACCUAGAAACCUAUAACCCAGAAGGGCCGCUGGAGCUUUUCGUCAUUAAGAUUGAGCUUGGACCAAAAAAAGAAUGAGCCAGGACUGGAAUGUCCCUGUAGUCGGGUAGUCAAGGCUUAACCUUCUAAUGAAGGGCGGGGGUUCCUUGGUUGGGAAGCUAACACCCACAUGCCUCAAUACCAAAAAACCCAAAAGGUAAAUAUUGUAAAAAUUCAAUAAAGACUUUGAAAAUGGUCCAGGUUAAAAAAGAGAGAGAAUGAACCAGGACAAAGACAUGCAUCAGGUGGGCAGGGUCAGUGGCUGACCUGUCAACUAGGUGAUCAGGGUAGCAGCUCUGGUCCCUGUGAUCAAAGUUGUGGAAGCAGUCCUGGUGGUCGAAGUCAGAAUGGUAGCGCUCAUCCAGGGCUGUCCGCUUAGCUUCUGGCCAGUAAACAUCAUCUCGCCUAGAGGAGAAGCAAGAAAGGAGGACGUGCAUUUCCCCUUCCUAAUGGACGACCUCUGUGGAAGCUGGUAAACUAAACCCUCAACUGUCCAACUGCCCCAUCACUUCACAGAACGAGAACUAACUGUGUCCAUAGAGGCCAUUCUCUGCCACUUGAGUUGCGAGUGCCUGGAAGGGUGAUAUGGGAUGUGACUGAAGGGCUCUAUUCUCUUACCCAACAUGCCCAAGUCCCCCACAGAGAAGUUAGGUCUCCUUACAGAAGGGGAUCAGAGAAGUGGGUGUCAGAUCUCCUCUGGGAACCGCUCACAGCCACAAGGGUCAGCCAGUCUACUAGGACAGUUGCCCCAUGCAGACUUGACCCAGGAAACACCCAGUGCAGAGGACUAGUAGCACUUGAGAUAUAACUGUUCAAAAACAUUCUAUGAUCUUCACAAACUCUCCCAUCAAUAUUUUGUAAAAUGCACAAAAAUCCUAAGACAUCUUAAAAACCCUUUACAGAAGUCUCGAUGUUACAUUACACAGGGACAGAUUAAAACGAACAAACGCACACCAUGCAGUCUCCCCCAAGUCACCAUCCAUGUGGAAAAGCUCUCAUAGGAUCAGCCCUAGGAUUAUUGCCCCAGACUCCUCACAGCAAGGUCUCAAACAGGCCUUUCACUGGUGGUUAGUGUUUUAGUAUUUGUGUGUCAAAACAGUAUGUCUGGGGAAUUAAAAUAAACCUUAUUAAUAGAAUGAACCAACACGAAUAACGACAAUGAUUUCAAAGCAUGGAAGGUGCCCAGGAGGUACAUUUUGGUCCCUGAUCACCUGACCAGCACCCUGUGUUAUGUGCUGCUGUGGGGGUCUGAACUUCCUCGGGGGGCUGGGGGGACAGCCUGUACUGGGACUCGAACCUAAUGAUUUAAUAAGCACAACUUUCACCGUUUCUCCAUCAACAUCAAACCAUCUCAGGUUUCCAAAUAAAGUACAGAGUAUCAAGUUGAGCUGUAGCAAAUACUCGUGCUUUUUAAAUAAAAAGCCCAUGUUAACAAGGCUCUGGAGAGCAAGGCACAGUUCUAAAUUCCACGGGACACCUAAGAGGUCGCAGCGAGGUGCAGUGUGGCUUACCGCCCAUCGUCAUAGGGCCUCCGCUCCUGCUCAUAGUGUAGGUCUUGCUGGCGCCGCCGCAGGAGCUCCACGCGCAUGCGCUUGCGCUCCAGCCGCUCCCGCUCCAUGCGCUCCCUCUCCAGGAGGCGUCUCUGGAAGGCCAGCCUCUCUCGGGCGAAUAGCAGCUCCUCGUGCUCCUGCCGCUCCAGCGCUGCCUGUGCGUACUGCUCUCGAUCACCGAGCUCUCGCACCCUGCAGGCGAAGAGUAGAGGCUGCAAGGGCUCAUGAGCUGCAGCAGUGCGGGCAGCGCCCCGGAGUGGGAUCAGGACGGGGGGAGCCUAGCCCUGAAGGUACACUUGGUAACAAGCAAGGGCCAACCGCUGGUGGAGGCAGGCUGUGCAGGACCCCCCUUCACGCGAGGGACACUUGACAGGCCUUUUGCAGGUGACACUGAUGGUGCCUAUCACAGUCUCCUCCUGACUGCACAGCUGCCAGGUGAUCUGUUCAUCUUUGUGUUUGCAGACACAGAAUUGUACCAGCAGGAAUGUCUAAUCUUCUCUUUAUUAUGUGGCUGCCUUGCUUCAGGUACCAUGGCCUGAACCCCAUACAGCACCAUCUGUUCAGGUGCACUAUGCUUUUGGGAAGGAGCCCGUUGAGUGGGGAGGUGGGGGUCCACAUGACCACUUGCAGAUGUCAGCCUUCUGGCUGUUCCCAGCCUCAGGGACAUGGCUGCCCCACCCCCAUUAUCGUCCACACAGGUUCAGGUAGGGGGGCUGUGGUGUUACUGGGUCUGGAACACUCUCCAGGCUGACUUGCCCCUGAACACGCCUCUCCUACCACCACAAGCACCAUCUCCCCUACUGUAAUUCCCAUCAAACCCACAGAUGGAAAACCAGUCUCACUGAACUUUUCAUCUGCAUGUUCCUGAUCCCUGGUAAGGCUGAAAAGCCCCUUCUGUCAUUCUUGCUAUCAGAUUAAUUUUUGCUUAUUUAUUUCAAAUCAUCUUUACUCCCAUCUGUCACACAUCUCUGGACCUUCUCUUUGGUCUCUCAGUGCACUGAAGUGAAAUUUAAAUUUAGUCUACUUCACCAUUAUAAAUUGUCAGUCCUUUCAAAAGCUCAAGUUCAUAAAUUCACUUACUUUUGCAUCAUGAGGAUAGCUUUAAUUUUUAAUUUUAUGUGCAGCCAGCAGUUUAUGUUGACACUGUGUCAGUGAUGUAAGCCAGCCACAUGACCUGAAGCCAUUUUGGAGAGACAUUGUCCUUGUCUCACUAUGGGAAAUGUCACUUUUAUCAUGUUAAGUUCCCACAUGCACACUGAUCUAUUUGCCAAUUACAUCAUUUCUAGUGAACUAUUUGUCAAUUUCUUUACCAAAACAUUAUUUUUUCUUUGCUUGUUGCCUUUGCUUGUUCAGGAGAAAAUUCUCACUUUUCUACUCUCUCUUCUACUUUCUCACUUCUACUUUCUCACUCUUCUACUAGAGUUUUUACUAAUGGUUUUAAUUUUUUUUUUUUUUACAAAAAACAUUAACUGUUGCUCAAUAUAAUUGACAGGAUUUGUGUUUAGUUUUUUAAAAUUAUGAGGAUCUUGUAUUGGGCUUAUUGAAGGGUGGGACCUCUCAGUUUUCUGACUGGGUCUGUGCCACUGUUUUUUCCCUAUUGAUGGGUUCUGCAGCAAACUUGGUAUGUUGUGUUAACUAGCUCCAGGAAGGCAUUCCAUCUCCUUGUCAUUGCUACCUCCCAGAAUCUUGAGAAUAUCUACCUGAGAAGAUAGUUUGAAAAAAAAUCACAAGAAGAAAGCCUGUACACAGGACAUCUGAAGAUAAAGCCAAGGAGCAAAGGUUUAAAGCAACAUUCCGCCCUCCGGGACAUGAAAAAAAUCCUCCCAGAAUAGAGUUAUCACCAGUCUAGGGCAACACCCAAACCAGCCAUCAUUCCUAGAUCCUGACUCACCUGCAUGACUCUGAUUCUCUAGACUUCUUGGAUUCUUUGACUUUAUCAAAGGAACCAACAGACUGCUUUUCUAUGCUGCCCGAUUUUCGAUCCUGACUCUUGGAUACCUGGUUUACCAAGAAGCAUUGAAUAGUUAAGGUAGGAAGAAAUCAAAUGUGUCCUGGCCUAAGCAUACAAGAUCAGAAAUGAAGCUGAAGAGUGAAUGAAACAAUCAGGUUAACACUGUUUCUCUCCAGAGAACCUCACCUUGGCUCACUAAAAUCCAGAGUCACAGACUCAUUACCAUUUAAUUCUAAAGUGGGACCCAUCGAGUACUUUCAGUAGUCAACACGCAAAACAGGAUUUUCUCAGAAAGAAUCCAUAUAUUAGAAACAAACAAACUUCCUUUCACUUUCUCUUUUCCAUUCAAAACACAUUCUUCAAUAUUAAACACGCAGUGAUGCCCAA